UACGUAGGGUGCGAGCGUUGUCCGGAAUUAUUGGGCGUAAAGGGCUCGUAGGCGGUUUGUCGCGUCGGGAGUGAAAACUCAGGGCUUAACCCUGAGCCUGCUUCCGAUACGGGCAGACUAGAGGUAUGCAGGGGAGAACGGAAUUCCUGGUGUAGCGGUGAAAUGCGCAGAUAUCAGGAGGAACACCGGUGGCGAAGGCAGUUCUCUGGGCAUUACCUGACGCUGAGGAGCGAAAGUGUGGGGAGCGAACAGG
rnacentral:rRNA from 1 species